rnacentral:ncRNA from 2 species
UUAAAAUUUUAUUCUGGUUUCAUAUUUCAGUGAAGUAUUGGAUUACAUGCAAGUUUUAGCGAGAUAGAGGAGAUGCUUUAAAUAGGUAAUUUUAUUAAUAGAUUCGCAGUAAUUAAGGUUGAAAAUUCCAGGAGUUUGGGAUUCAGCAAUUAGUUUUAGUACUGGCUAAGUUUGUGCCAGCAGCUGCGGUUAGACAGACAGUGCAACUGAAAUUGUUCGGCUAUAAUUAAUGUUUAAUGAGGGGAUGAAAUCUAAAAGUUGUUAGGUGAAAUUUCAAUUUUUGGUAAAGUCUCUAAGUUGAUUAUGAGGUUGGAAAACUCAAUUUUUAAACUAGGAUUAGAUACCCUAUUAUUUUGAAAGUAAAAUUUUAUGCUGGGCUAGUAGUAGUUAAGUUCUUGAAAAUUAAAGGAUUUGGCGGUAUUUUAGUCUGUUCAGAGGAACCUGUCCUAUAAUUGAUGGUCCACGAUUUAUGCAACUUAUUUUACUAAGUCUGUAUAUCGCCGUAGGUUGAAUAUUUUAGAAAAAUUUUAAUGUUCAAGAUUUUUGGUUAAAAAAAAUAAAUCAGGUCAAGGUGUAGCUUAUAGGUAAGCAGAGAUGGGUUACAAUGAAUUUAUUUAAACGAAUUAUUUCAUUAAAGUGUUUUAUGAAGGUGGAUUUGAAGGUAAUAUUAAAUAAAUUAUUAAUAUGAUUUUAGCUCUAGAGUAUGCACAUAUCGCCCGUCGCUUUCGCCUUAAAGUGGAAUAAGUCGUAACAUAGUAGGCGUACUGGAAAGUGUGCCUGGAAAGGC